CUCUUCGAAGUAUUCGUAUUCGUGCCUGUGAACUCACUAUGGUUCUUGGGCAUUGACGAGAUGGGGAGCAGAAAGCAAUCGUUCCUCUCGCUAUCCAGUGCGGAAAUUAUUAAUGUAACUGGACGUUGAGGAACAACAGUU